GACGAACGCUGGCGGCGUGCUAAUACAUGCAAGUAGGACGCACAGUUUAUACCGUAGCUUGCUACACCAUAGACUGUGAGUUGCGAACGGGUGAGUAACGCGUAGGUAACCUGCCUAUUAGAGGGGGAUAACUAUUGGAAACGAUAGCUAAUACCGCAUAACAGUAUGUAACACAUGUUAGAUGCUUGAAAGAUGCAAUUGCAUCGCUAGUAGAUGGACCUGCGUUGUAUUAGCUAGUAGGUAGGGUAAUGGCCUACCUAGGCGACGAUACAUAGCCGACCUGAGAGGGUGAUCGGCCACACUGGGACUGAGACACGGCCCAGACUCCUACGGGAGGCAGCAGUAGGGAAUCUUCGGCAAUGGGGGGAACCCUGACCGAGCAACGCCGCGUGAGUGAAGAAGGUUUUCGGAUCGUAAAGCUCUGUUGUUAAGGAAGAACGAGUGUGAGAAUGGAAAGUUCAUACUGUGACGGUACUUAACCAGAAAGGGACGGCUAACUACGUGCCAGCAGCCGCGGUAAUACGUAGGUCCCGAGCGUUGUCCGGAUUUAUUGGGCGUAAAGCGAGCGCAGGCGGUUAGAAAAGUCUGAAGUGAAAGGCAGUGGCUCAACCAUUGUAGGCUUUGGAAACUGUUUAACUUGAGUGCAGAAGGGGAGAGUGGAAUUCCAUGUGUAGCGGUGAAAUGCGUAGAUAUAUGGAGGAACACCGGUGGCGAAAGCGGCUCUCUGGUCUGUAACUGACGCUGAGGCUCGAAAGCGUGGGGAGCGAACAGG
rnacentral:rRNA from 1 species